ACAGAGGUCCCAAGCGUUGUUCGGAUUUACUGGGCGUAAAGGGUGCGUAGGCGGCGUGGAAAGUUCGGGGUGAAAUCUCCAGGCUCAACUUGGAAACUGCCCAGAAUACUUCCAUGCUAGAGGGUCGCAGAGGAGAUUGGAAUUCUCGGUGUAGCAGUGAAAUGCGUAGAUAUCGAGAGGAACAUCAGUGGCGAAAGCGAAUCUCUGGGCGGCAUCUGACGCUGAGGCACGAAAGCCAGGGGAGCAAACGGGAUUAGAUACCCCGGUAGUCCUGGCCCUAAACGGUGCGCACUUGCUGUGAGCGGAUUUAAAACCCGGUCGUGGCGAAGUUAACACGAUAAGUGCGCCGCCUGAGGAGUACGGUCGCAAGAUUA
rnacentral:rRNA from 1 species